AAAAACACAUUAUCUCACAGCCUGAAUGUUGUUCCUCUACUGGCAAGAGGAAACAACAGCGAUUAUUCUUCUGAAAAGUUAAAUAUUUAGUACCAUUAGAUAUGCAUACGGAGCAAGAUGUUUUCUGUGGUUUGUGCUAACUUGCAAAGCCCACAUUACCUCAAUACCUAAAAUGACACAAAAGUCUUGGACAGUGCUGAACAGUCAUGGAUGGAUAUCUUUAAUGAAAACUAUUUUCAAAGCAUCUUACCCGUGGGCAUCUGGGGACCCCGUGCACCCUCAUAGUCUAUACAAGGAAGAAGAAUACUGGCUCAACACCAAGUAAAUUUGGGAGACUCUAUGGCAAUAAAUGGAAAAUGAUCUGGACUGUAAUCCCUGGCAUUGGUUAGCAGUGUCCGUGAAACGCAGUGCCCAUUUGCCCUGCUCUGUUGGAUGACGUGGGAUAUGAACUAAGAGACACCCAGGAGUUGACUAUCGCACAACCUGAUGCAGGUGGCCUAGCAUCUUAUAAAUGUCUAAUUAGAAAUUUGGAGAGGAUGUCCGUCCAGGACUGCCGCAACCUGCUCAGAGACUAUUCCAUAAUGACAAUUCGGACAUCAAGAAAAAUAGGAUUAACCCCCCAUGUGUUUUGUCUUUCAUCAAAAGUGUGGGCCUCCCUACUUCCUUCUUUCCCAAUCCUCAUUACACUUAUGACUGUCUGUAAUGCUUUGGUGUUUGACUUUGUUGCUUUUAUAAUUUGUGCAGGAAUGUAGUGUAGCAUGUGGUAAGAGUCCUAUGCUGUAUGUUGUACUGUCGCAUAUGUUGUAAUCAUUAAUUGUGUGCUGAUUCCACAGUACAUUGUAUGUAUUUGUAAUG